rnacentral:rRNA from 1 species
AUUGAACGCUGGCGGCAUGCCUCACACAUGCAAGUCGAACGGCAGCACGGGAGCAAUCCUGGUGGCGAGUGGCGAACGGGUGAGUAAAGUAUCGGAACGUGCCCAGUCGUGGGGGAUAACGUAGCGAAAGUUACGCUAAUACCGCAUACGAUCUAUGGAUGAAAGCGGGGGAUCGCAAGACCUCGCGCGAUUGGAGGGGCCGAUAUCAGAUUAGGUAGGUGGUGGGGUAAAGGCUCACCAAGCCGACGAUCUGUAGCUGGUCUGAGAGGACGACCAUCCACACUGGGACUGAGACACGGCCCAGACUCCUACGGGAGGCAGCAGUGGGGAAUUUUGGACAAUGGGCGAAAGCCUGAUCCAGCCAUGCCGCGUGCAGGAUGAAGGCCUUCGGGUUGUAAACUGCUUUUGUACGGAACGAAAAGGUUUGGCCUAAUAAGCUGAGCUCAUGACGGUACCGUAAGAAUAAGCACCGGCUAACUACGUGCCAGCCGCCGCCGUAACAC